rnacentral:rRNA from 1 species
GGAAAAAUGGGGGGAGGCUAAACAUGCAAGUCGAGCGGAAACGAGUUAACUGAACCUUCGGGGAACGUUAACGGCGUCGAGCGGCGGACGGGUGAGUAAUGCCUGGGAAAUUGCCCUGAUGUGAGGGAUAACCAUUGGAAACGAUGGCUAAUACCGCAUAAUAGCUUCGGCUCAAAGAGGGGGACCUUCGGGCCUCUCGCGUCAGGAUAUGCCCAGGUGGGAUUAGCUAGUUGGUGAGGUAAUGGCUCACCAAGGCGACGAUCCCUAGCUGGUCUGAGAGGAUGAUCAGCCACACUGGAACUGAGACACGGUCCAGACUCCUACGGGAGGCAGCAGUGGGGAAUAUUGCACAAUGGGCGCAAGCCUGAUGCAGCCAUGCCGCGUGUAUGAAGAAGGCCUUCGGGUUGUAAAGUACUUUCAGCAGUGAGGAAGGUGGGUAUGUUAAUAGCAUACACAUUUGACGUUAGCUGCAGAAGAAGCACCGGCUAACUCCGUGCCAGCAGCCGCGGUAAUACGGAGGGUGCGAGCGUUAAUCGGAAUUACUGGGCGUAAAGCGCAUGCAGGUGGUUUGUUAAGUCAGAUGUGAAAGCCCGGGGCUCAACCUCGGAAUUGCAUUUGAAACUGGCAAACUAGAGUACUGUAGAGGGGGGUAGAAUUUCAGGUGUAGCGGUUGAAAUGCUUAGCAGAUCUGAUAGGAAUAUCUGGUGGCU